rnacentral:rRNA from 1 species
GACGAACGCUGGCGGCGUGCUUAACACAUGCAAGUCGAACGAAAAGAGGGAAAGAGCUUGCUCUUUCCGGAAUUGAGUGGCAAACGGGUGAGUAACACGUAAACAACCUGCCUUCAGGAUGGGGACAACAGACGGAAACGACUGCUAAUACCGAAUAAGUUCCAAGGGCCGCAUGGCCCAUGGAAGAAAAGGUGGCCUCUACCUGUAAGCUAUCGCCUGAAGAGGGGUUUGCGUCUGAUUAGCUGGUUGGCGGGGUAACGGCCCACCAAGGCGACGAUCAGUAGCCGGACUGAGAGGAAGAACGGCCACACUGGAACUGAGACACGGGCCAGGCUCCUAGGGGAGGCAGCAGUGGGGAAUCUUCCGCAAUGGGCGAAAGCCUGACGGAGAAACGCCGCGUGAGGGAUGACGGACUUCGGGUUGUAAAACUCUGUGAUCCGGGACGAAAAGGCAGAGUGCGAAGAACAAACUGAAUUGACGGUACCGGAAAAGCAAGCCACGGCUAACUACGUG